CCGAUGUUCACCAGGAGGUCGCAUUCGUACCCUCUCUUCUUUCCUAGAGAAGUUGUCCGUGGUGCCUCAUUCUUCAGAGUUUCAGUUUCCUUACUCCUACUCCUGCCUCUGCACCAAAUAAUUAAAAGCAUUCUGGAAAAUUCCUAAGGGAUCUUGGACCGUACAGAUUUGUCUAGAAAUGGGAGGAUUCCUGACCCCAUGGACCAGUCAAGUCACAGUGUUAUGUACCCGUUUUACCCCCGGCUGCCCCCCGAGGCCACGGGUGCCUGCAGCGCCACGGCCAGGGCACUCCCGGGAAGGCGCUGAGUGGGCCUGGAGGGGGGGCAGGCAAAGGGGGCUCGCCUUGGCCUCUCCGGAGCCUCCUAAUUCAGCGCCCAGGGGUGCUCGGGCAGCACCCACGCCCCUUCGCCUGCAGAACCUCUUUUAUUAUUUCCCCCUGGAAGAUGCCAUAUUUUGAAAGCUUGUCGUUCCCAUGCAAAAUGCCCUGGUGAAUAAAAAGUAAUCUUUAAUUUGC